UAGAUCUUUGAAAAGCAGAAAUGGAGCCUUCAGCACAACCACCCAGAAUUUAGCAAGUGAUUUCAGGAUGGAAAGUCAACAACAAAACACUUCUCUUUUCCAGCAGCCAUUGUACAGCGCAUACAGCGGUUAAAACCAGCUCACCAAAUGUGUUGGAGCUCAGCUUGAGUUGCUAACAGGGUAGAGCCUGUUG